rnacentral:rRNA from 1 species
UACGUAGGGACCGAGCGUUGUCCGGAUUCAUUGGGCGUAAAGAGCUCGUAGGCGGCUCUUUAAGUCGGGGGUGAAAUCCUGGAGCUCAACUCCAGAACUGCCUUCGAUACUGAAGAGCUCGAGUCCGGGAGAGGUGAGUGGAACUGCGAGUGUAGAGGUGAAAUUCGUAGAUAUUCGCAAGAACACCAGUGGCGAAGGCGGCUCACUGGCCCGGUACUGACGCUGAGGUGCGAAAGCGUGGGGAGCAAACAGG